rnacentral:ncRNA from 2 species
AGAACGUUGACAGUUUCUGGUACGCCCCGCACACUGCGAACGCGAUCUGUGGGUGGAAGCCGGUGCAAGUCCGGCGCGGUCGCGCCACUGUGACCGAGCCUCCCGCCCGUCGGGGUGGUGGCUCGGGAGUCAGACCCACCUGCCGGUCGAGUCCGAU